rnacentral:rRNA from 1 species
UACGUAGGCAGCAAGCGUUGUUCGGAGUUACUGGGCGUAAAGGGUGCGUAGGCGGCGAGGUAAGUCGGGUGUGAAAUCUCGGAGCUUAACUCCGAAACUGCAUUCGAUACUGCCGUGCUUGAGGACUGGAGAGGAGACUGGAAUUUACGGUGUAGCGGUGAAAUGCGUAGAUAUCGUAAGGAAGACCAGUGGCGAAGGCGGGUCUCUGGACAGUUCCUGACGCUGAGGCACGAAGGUCAGGGGAGCAAACGGG